rnacentral:rRNA from 1 species
CACGUAGGGCGCGAGCGUUGUCCGGAAUUAUUGGGCGUAAAGAGCUCGUAGGCGGCCUGUUGCGUCCGCUGUGAAAGCCCGGGGCUUAACCCCGGGUCUGCAGUGGAUACGGGCAGGCUAGAGGUAGGUAGGGGAGAAUGGAAUUCCCGGUGUAGCGGUGAAAUGCGCAGAUAUCGGGAUGAACACCGGUGGCGAAGGCGGUUCUCUGGGCCUUACCUGACGCUGAGGAGCGAAAGCGUGGGGAGCGAACAGG